UGUGUAGAUGAAACCUGCUAGAUCAGGUCCAU
rnacentral:piRNA from 1 species